rnacentral:rRNA from 1 species
UACGGAGGGGGCUAGCGUUGUUCGGAAUUACUGGGCGUAAAGCGCGCGUAGGCGGACCUGCAAGUCGGGGGUGAAAGCCCGAGGCUCAACCUCGGAACUGCCUUCGAUACUGCGGGUCUCGAGUCCGGGAGAGGUGAGUGGAAUUCCUAGUGUAGAGGUGAAAUUCGUAGAUAUUAGGAAGAACACCAGUGGCGAAGGCGGCUCACUGGCCCGGUACUGACGCUGAGGCACGA